rnacentral:rRNA from 1 species
AUUGAACGCUGGCGGCAGGCCUAACACAUGCAAGUCGAGCGGAGCGGCGGACGGGUGAGUAAUGCCUAGGAAUCUGCCUGGUAGUGGGGGAUAAAGUCCGGCAACGGGCGCUAAUACCGCAUACUAUCAGAUGAGCGUAGGUCGGAUUAGCGAGUUGGUGGGUUAAAGGCCUACCAAGGCGACGAUCCGUAACUGGUCUGAGAGGAUGAUCAGUCACACGGGAACUGAGACACGGUCCAGACUCCUACGGGAGGCAGCAGGGGGGAAUAUUGGACAAUGGGCGAAAGCCUGAUCCAGCCAUGCCGCGUGUGUGAAGAAGGUCUUCGGAUUGUAAAGCACUUUAAGUUGGGAGGCGUUACCGACAGAAGAAGCACCGGCUAACUCCGUGCCAGCAGCCGCGGUAAUAC